rnacentral:lncRNA from 1 species
UAGAAAAAAAGUAAUUAAGGCAUCCACAUAGAUGAAUAGAGAUGGAUGAUGAAAAUCUCUAUUGCUAUUAGCCAAAAGGCAUAUCCAAUGGGCUUCAAUGAGGCUAUUAAGGCCAUAUUAGGAAUUAAGGUUACUUUUUUAAGGUCAUUUUAACUUGAGAGGCUAGGAUUAAAGUUUUUAAGUUUUUGGCUAUGAUUUUGGUACAAAUUUUAUGUGAUUUGGAAUUUUUAUGAAAGAGAUAUAGGCACUCAAAGUUAAGGUGUUGGUUUUGUAUCUAUUGUCACUCUUAUGGAUAUAACAUAUGCACAUGGAAACCAACAAAGGAUUGGUAACUAGAAUUGAAGAGUGCAAUAUUUUUGCUAUACUUUUCAUAUAUUACUUGAUGAAUUUUAAGCUAAAAUAAAGGAG